GUCUACUGUUAUGAAUUGCCACAACUUGGAGGCUUAGAACAACACAAAUUAGUACUCUCACAGUCCUGAAGGCUACAGCUCUGCAAUCAAGAUAUCAGCAAGGCCAUCAUUCCACUAAGGCUCUAAGGAAGAAUCCAUUUUUGCCUCUUCCUGCUUCUGGGGAUGCAUCCACUUUAUUAGACGGCAAACUAGAAAAUGCUUCCUACAGUCGCCACAUAAAAAG
rnacentral:lncRNA from 10 species